rnacentral:lncRNA from 1 species
CUUGACAGAGGUCAUGAAGAACUCGUUAAAUCCCAUCGUCAAUCAUAUGCUAGAUUGGCUCAACUCAAAUUCAUUUGUGAAUCCUGUAGAAUUUUUUUUUCAGUAUUCACACUUACUCUGGCCAAAGAUUUUCUGAACUCAGUCUUACGAAUCGCAUAGGACUUCUCCUUUUCUACCAAGAUCGAUAGAUUCUAUUUAGAUGCAUCCUACUCCAAACAGUGAAUCUGAACCUACAAUAGCCAACAUACAUAGUAAGAACUUGAAUGACUAGAGACUAAGAGAAUGUUAGUCAAACUAUAUAGCCUCACUGCGAAUAGCUAACACACCAUAGGUCAAAGGAUCAGUCACAC